UACGGGGGGGGGCAAGCGUUGUUCGGAAUUACUGGGCGUAAAGGGCUCGUAGGUGGCCAACUAAGUCGGACGUGAAAUCCCUCGGCUUAACCGGGGAACUGCGUCCGAUACUGGAUGGCUUGAGUUUGGGAGAGGGAUGCGGAAUUCCAGGUGUAGCGGUGAAAUGCGUAGAUAUCUGGAGGAACACCGGUGCGAAGGCGGCAUCCUGGACCAACACUGAUACUGAGAGCGAAAGCCAGGGGAGCAAAGCGGG
rnacentral:rRNA from 1 species